ACUUUAUUCCUUUUUAUGGCUGAAUAGUAUUCCAUUGUAUGGAUAUACCACAUUUUGUUUAUCCACUCAUCAACUGAUGGAUGUUCAGAUUGGUUCCACUUUUUGGCUAUUGUGAGUAAUGCUGCUAUGACCAUUCAUGUAUAAUGUUUGUAGUGUGCGUAAGUUUUCAAUUCUCUUGGCUGAAACUUUGUAGCGACGUCUAUUUUCCAAAGUGUCCACACCAUUUUACAUUCCCACCAGCAUUUUUGUUAUUAUAGCCAUCCUAGUGAAUAUAAAGGCAUAUCUCAUUGACGUUUUGGUUUUCAUUUUCCUAAUGGCUAAUGAUAUUGAGCAUAUUUUCAUGUCCUUUUGGGCAUUUAUAUAUCUUCUCUGGAAGAAUGUCUAUUCAAAUCCUUUGCUCAUCGUACCCAAUGCCUCCACACUGGGAUAUUCUGCCAUAUCCAAAACCCCUUAUGUUAAUAACAGUUCUGAAUUCUGUUCCAAAACUCAAAAGGCAAGAAAGUCUGCAUUUCUUUACUCUCAAAAUCAAGUGAAAUAUGGUUCACACCUCCACAUCCAACGUUAACAAGAAGUCCUCCCAUUCCUCCCCUGGGAUCCUACAAGUAUCCUAGGGAAAUUAUGUAAAAUCCCAAAUGAGCACAUACAUGUUUAUGUGUCACUGCCUUGACACCCAUUGCUGCUUUCAUGGCUGCAUUCAUUCACUCAUUGACUCAGCUCAAGGCAAUCAUUCAUUAAUUCAACAAACAUUUGUCAAGGACUUAAACUACGUGCCAGGCACUAUAACAGACUCUGAGGAGAAUGGGGAAUAAGAUGACGAGCACUGAGAAUCCACCAUCUGCCUAUUGCUGUGGCUUAGCAAGGAGGCAGUCAGCUUCAGGCCCAGGCAGGUAUUUAAUGCCUAGCCUUUCAUCAGUUCCCAUGCCUGCCAAAUGUCCUUCCAUCUCUGGGGUUCUAUGGUCUCCGCCACUCUCAGAACCCACAAACCUUCUCUUUGUCUUCAGAGAACCCAAAUACCAUGAGAGAGUACUCCUUGCCCCUCCUCUACCCCUGAAAGUACCAAAAUCCACACCUCUACCUCUGGGACACUCACUCCCUCAGCGUGUCUGGACCAGAGAAGACAAGUUGGCAACUAGGAUUUCUACGUAUAUGCUUUUGGCUCACACACUUUUUUAAAAAUGGACUUAAAUUAACAUUUUAAAAUUAGAAGUUUUCACUUAAAAUCCAGAUUCCCAUUUGCUUUAAAAAAAUGGAAAGAUCUGAUAACCAGCCCACAAGGUAAUGCCCUUCUAGAAUGAGUGUGCUCACUCUGGUUCUCCAAGUCCUCAUCACUCCCUGUUGCAUUGCCCUGACCCUGUAUCUCGCAUAGAGAAAUGUGUGCUCAUGACCCCAGUCUAUGCUUGAGAGGGCAGAUACUGCUAUGUAUUCACUAAGCCAUUUUCCUUUCCUUCUGGGUACAAAACUAGGCUACAUAUUCCCAGGUUCCGUUGCAGUUAGAUGGGGGCCAUGUGACUGAAUUCUGGAAGAUAGAAUGAGAACAGGAGUGAUGGUCACCCCAGGGAGGUUUAGCCCGUGAAAACCUCCUGUGGAAUCUACUGUUCUCUCUCUCACCCACUUGCUGGAUAUAAAGGACUCCAGGUUUGCAGAGCUGGGCAAAGACUCAAGACAAAACCAGCCUGGGACUGACUGAGCAGAAUAGAGCUCCCCUCUGACUGCAUUGGAUUGUAAGCUGCUGCUGUAUAACGUGCUGCUACCACUCCAGAUCAAACACCGGACCUUUUAGGUGGGACUAUAGUACUUUAAUUUGAGAGAAUAAAUAGAAAUGAUUAUUUCCAUUACAAGCACAAGAUAGGAUGGCAAGGAGAUAUAUUAUGAAGGUGAAGUUUUUUGAGAUUCCUCUUUCUGCCCUGUCGGGUCCCUCCGGGGCGCCCUCUAUCCAUGACACCAUGCACAUCACCAGGGCUUAGUGUCAACAUUCAGAUCCUGUCAGAGGCUCACUCCUAAACUAAAAACAAUCUCUAAAUGUUCUAAUUUCAAAUAUCACGUGAUCUGACUCCAAGAUUAUUUCCCAUCUCUAAAAUGGAGAUGUAAAACUACAGUCAGGAAUAAAUAGAAUAUAACAGUGUUAGUUAUCAUUUGCUGCAUAACAAAUUAUCCCAAAAUUUAAUGCCUAAAAUAACAACAUUGAUUGUCUCAUAGUUUCUGUGGACCAGGAAUCCAGGUGCGGUGUAGCUGAGUCCUCCGACUCUGGGUCUCUCAUAAGGCUGUAAGUAAGGUCUUGGCUAGAGCUGCACUUAUCUCAAUGCUCAACUGGGAAGGUUCCACUUCCUAGUUCAUUCACAUGGUUGCUCCCCGGAUUCAGGACUGAGGCUUUAGUUCCUCAAGAGCUGUUGGCUGGAGGCCUCCAUCAAUUCCUUGUCACCUGAGCCUCUGCACAGAGCGUCUCACAACAUGGCAGUUGGCUUCAUCAGAACAGUAAAGCCAAGAAGAAUCAAACAGAGAGAGUACAAGCAAGACAGAAGUCACAGCCUUCUCAGAAUCUGAGAAUUGACAUCCUGACACUGUUGCCAUAUUCUACUUGUUAGAAGCAAGUUGCUUGGUCAAGUCCACACUCAAAGGGAGGGAAUUCCGUAAGAGUAUGAAUACUAGGAGGUAGGGAUCAUUGUGAGCCAUCAUAGAAUCUGCCUACCACACUAUGUAAAGUUUCUAGCCCAAUUCGUGACUUGGUGUAGGCAUUUAAUAAAUGGCAACAGCAAUUAUUAUUAUUGUUUUUGUUAUUGGUGUUACUAUAUUAUUGUUGAUGAUAAUGACAAAAGAAAAAUGACCAGAUUUCAAGACAAACAGAUCUUUUUGAACCCAACCCAACUGCUUGGAUUCAAAUCCCUGCUUAGCCUUUUGUUAGCUGUUGACUUAGUACAAGUUAUGUAACCUCUCUCUCCCUUAGUUCCUCAUUGGUAACAUGGAGAUAAUCAUAGGAUUUAUCUCACAGGGUUCUUGUGAAGGUAAAAGACAUGAGACAAGUAAAGUACUUUAGCCCAGAAGCUCUACCAUGGUAAGUAGUCAAUAUAUAUUACCGAACACUGAGAUCACUAUUAUUAUUUCUCUGCUUCUUGCCUAUGGCUAUGCUGUCAAUUAUUGUCACAAUAAUGCUGCAUGAGAAACAUCCACAAAGUCUCAGUGGCAUAAAACAGGAACCAUUUAUUUCUUGCUCAUGAGUUUAUAGGUUACCAAGGCAGCUCUGCUCCUUGUGUCUCUCAUCCUCCUACCGAAGCCAGUGGUCAGCCAGUACGUGUUCUUCUCAUGACCAUGGUAGAAUCCAAGAGGACGAGCUCCACUGUGCAAGUUCACUUCAAGUUCUUGCUUGGUUCACUUCCAAUAACCUCCCAAACCAAGUUACAUGGAAAACCCAAAACCAAGGGGCAAAAAGUAUACUCUACUUUUUGUUGGAGAAACUGAAAAGUUACGUGGUUUUAGUGUGCAGAAUAUGAAUAGAAGAGAUGUGAAAAUAGGACUAGGAAUUCAAUCUUCUAUAGCUACCUAUUUUACUUUUUUGGAAGAGAAUAGUAGAAGUAAUAACAUAAUGGUGGAGGAUAGAGAGAUGGGCAGAG
rnacentral:lncRNA from 1 species